AAAUUAAAGGGCCGCGGUAUUUUGACCGUGCAAAGGUAGCAUAAUCAUUAGUCUUUUAAUUGGAGGCUGGAAUGAAUGGUUUGACGAAAUAUUGACUGUCUCUUUAUGAUAAAUAUAAUUUAACUUCUGAGUCAAAAGGCUUAGAUAAAUAUAAAAGACGAGAAGACCCUAUAGAUCUUUAUACAAGGAUAUAUUUAUUUUGUUUAGGUUAAUUUUUAAUAGAUGUGUUGUUGUAUUCUGUUGGGGUGACAUGAAGAUAAAAAUAACUCUUUAUUAUUAAUACAUUGAUUUAUGAAUGAUUGAUCCAUUAUUAGUGAUUAUAAGAUAAAGUUACCUUAGGGAUAACAGCGUAAUUUUUUUUGAGAGUUCUUAUCGACAAAAAAGAUUGCGACC
rnacentral:rRNA from 1 species